rnacentral:rRNA from 1 species
GAUCGGCUCAGGAUGAACGCUGGCGGCGUGCCUAAUACAUGCAAGUCGAACGCUUCACUUCGGUGAAGAGUGGCGAACGGGUGAGUAAUACAUAAGUAACCUGGCAUCUACAGGGGGAUAACUGAUGGAAACGUCAGCUAAGACCGCAUAGGUGUAGAGAUCGCAUGAACUCUAUAUGAAAAGUGCUACGGGACUGGUAGAUGAUGGACUUAUGGCGCAUUAG